CAAGCUCUGUUUGUUUCAUUAACGGCGUGGAUACAGGCCGACUGAAAGGACAAUGUAAUAACUCCAUUACUAAGGGAGCUAGAGAAGUGUUUUUAAAGAGUGAUUGUAUGAAUUGGGGGAUAUAGUCAGUAGAGAUCUAAUGUGCCCAAUAUUAUAUUAUAUUAUUUUAUUUAUGGUUGUCAGACCAUAUGAUAAUGAGGUUGUUACAGUGCAUGAAACAAUUCCAGCCACCAAAAACAAAAUAUUAGAGGACCAGGCACUUUUAGCUCUUAUAUUCAAAACCAUAAGUACACAUUUCUUCCAAAUGUUCUAGAUCUGUUGUGGUUUUACUGAACACAUAUCGCUUGUAUAUGCUGAUGGGCACUGAGCAAGCCCACCAGGUUGCAAGAUUUAGAUUACAUGUUAGGUUAAAGAAAAAAAGCUGACUUAAGAAAAGUUUUGGUCAAAAUUUCACAAACUUUUUUUUAAGUUAAAGCUCAAAUCACCAAGGACUACUUUCUUCACAUGCUUGUGGUUAUAAUGUAACCGUUAAGCAGUUUUAAAACCAGCAGUCGGUUGUUGUGGCUAAAAGACACAAACAGGCUUCUGUGGUCCAUCCCUGAUACCGACCACCACUUAUGUAUCUACAGUUUUGCAAAUUAUGUAUAUAUCGAGAAAAAGUAUCAGUUUCCCAUUUAUUUCCAAUGCAACUUUACCAGGACUCAAUGCAUACAUACUUUACCUGCAAUUAUCUGGUCAAGAUGCCCUUAGUGGUUCUAUACCCGAUUCAUCUUUCACAAGUAUUUUUUUAAAAUUGCAUAUCUUAUGCUUACAGAUGGACUUUUGUGCUUAAAUGGACACUAUAGACACCAAAACAACUUCAUAUCUUAUGUCAAGGGGUUAAACUGCUCUCUAAUCCCAAAGUUGCCACAAGCAGCGAUUUCCACUCAGGAAGUGCCAAGUGCACCGGGUAGGGGCGACACUGAUUUGUUGAGAGCGGGCAGCUGACACUCUCACCCAAUCAGUGACUCCUCCAUUCACAAAACCAGCUUGGAUUUUAUUUCUAUUUUUAUCUUUCCAUAUACCACUGUGGAGGAUUGGAUACCGCAUUAUACCAUCACUUGAUAUCCUGAGACGGGGAUUAUACCGUCUAGGCGCUAUACGGCAGAGCUCUGAGUAGCUCUGCAAAGUGUGAGUGAGUCUUUUAUAAGCUUUUAUAUACUCUUAUUUCACU